rnacentral:rRNA from 1 species
UACAGAGGGGGCAAGCGUUGUUCGGAAUUACUGGGCGUAAAGGGCGCGUAGGCGGCCUUCUAAGUCGAACGUGAAAUCCCCGGGCUCAACCCGGGAACUGCGUCCGAGACUGGAAGGCUCGAAUCCGGGAGAGGGAUGUUGAAUUCCAGGUGUAGCGGUGAAAUGCGUAGAUAUCUGGAGGAACAUCGGUGGCGAAGGCGGCAUCCUGGACCGGUAUUGACGCUGAGGCGCGAAAGCCAGGGGAGCAAACGGG